rnacentral:tRNA from 1 species
UUCAAGAUAGCCAAGUGGUCCAAGGCGCCAGGCUAGGUUUCUGGUCCUCCGGGGCUUGGGUUCGAAUCCCACUCCAGACA